rnacentral:rRNA from 1 species
AUUGAACGCUGGCGGCAUGCCUUACACAUGCAAGUCGAACGGCAGCACGGGAGCAAUCCUGGUGGCGAGUGGCGAACGGGUGAGUAAUAUAUCGGAACGUGCCCAGUAGUGGGGGAUAACUGCUCGAAAGAGCAGCUAAUACCGCAUACGACCUGAGGGUGAAAGGGGGGGAUCGCAAGACCUCUCGCUAUUGGAGCGGCCGAUAUCAGAUUAGCUAGUUGGUGGGGUAAAGGCCUGCCAAGGCCACGAUCUGUAGUUGGUCUGAGAGGACGACCAGCCACACUGGGACUGAGACACGGCCCAGACUCCUACAGGAGGCAGCAGUGGGGAAUUUUGGACAAUGGGCGCAAGCCUGAUCCAGCAAUGCCGCGUGCAGGAAGAAGGCCUUCGGGUUGUAAACUGCUUUUGUCAGGGAAGAAAUCCUCUAGGUUAAUACCCUUGGGGGGAUGACGGUACCUGAAGAAUAAGCACCGGCUAACUACGUGCCAGCCGCCGCCGUAAGAC